UUAUCUUAAAAAUUUUAUACUUAAUUAUUUUAUUUACUGUAAAGGGAAAAAAAAAUUUUUAUAAAGAAAUUUUUUGUUCCUUUAGUAUCAGGAAUUUUUUAAUUCACAAAAAUAAUUUUCUUUCCUGAAAAAAAGUCAACUAUAAAUUUAUAUAAAUAAUGUUGUAUAAUUAAAAUUAAUUUAUUUAUGGAAAUUAGACGUUAUUCGAACUUUUUGAUAUCCGGUAUCUUAAAAAAUCAAAUUAUAUUUAAUUUUAUAUAGAUAAUUAUAUAAAAAAAUUUUUUUUAAUAAUACUUAAAUCUAGGAAUAAUAGUAUCCACAAGGUUUCAUAACUUUCAACUUUUUUCUAUAAAUUUUAUUAUUAAGAUUACAUUAAUUAAAAAAAUUAAUAAAAAUAUAAGUAGGACAAAAAUCUAAUUUUUAUAUAAAAUAACAAAAAAAAAAUUAACCUUAAAUUAAGAACUAAGCAAAAAAUUUAAUGACUGUUUACCAAAGACAUUUCUAAUAUCUUCUUAAAUUAUUAGUAAAACCUGCUCCAUGUCCAAAUAAAUAGCCGCAGAACAUUCUGUGCUAAGGUAGCAUAAUCAUUAGUCUUUUAAUUGAAGACUUGUAUGAAAGGUUUAACAUUUUAAUUUCUUUUUUAUUUAAGCUUUUCUAAAUUAUACUAAAUAUAAAAAUAUAUUUAUAUAUUUAAAAGACGACAAGACCCUAUUGAACUUAACUUUUGUUUAGCUGGGGCAGCUAAUUAAUUAAUAUUUUAAAUUGACUAUUUUUUUAUAAAUGACCCAAUAAAAUUGAUUUUAUGAAUUAAGUUACCAUAGGGAUAACAGCGUAAUUUUUUUUAAAAGUUCAUAUUAAAAAAAAAGAUUGCGACCUCGAUGUUGAAUUAUUGUUACAAAUUAUACGCAGUAGUAUAUAAUGUAGGUCUGUUCGACCUUUAAAACUUUACAUGAUUUGAGUUCAAACCGGUCGGCGUAAGCCAGAUUGGUUUCUAUCUUUAAAAAAAUUUAUUUAGUACGAAAGGACCAAUAAAUUUAUUUUUAAUA
rnacentral:rRNA from 1 species